GACGAACGCUGGCGGCGUGCCUAAUACAUGCAAGUUGAGCGCUGAAGGUUGGUACUUGUACCAACUGGAUGAGCAGCGAACGGGUGAGUAACGCGUGGGGAAUCUGCCUUUGAGCGGGGGACAACAUUUGGAAACGAAUGCCAAUACCGCAUAAAAACUUUAAACACAAGUUUUAAGUUUGAAAGAUGCAAUUGCAUCACUCAAAGAUGAUCCCGCGUUGUAUUAGCUAGUUGGUGAGGUAAAGGCUCACCAAGGCGAUGAUACAUAGCCGACCUGAGAGGGUGAUCGGCCACAUUGGGACUGAGACACGGCCCAAACUCCUACGGGAGGCAGCAGUAGGGAAUCUUCGGCAAUGGACGAAAGUCUGACCGAGCAACGCCGCGUGAGUGAAGAAGGUUUUCGGAUCGUAAAACUCUGUUGGUAGAGAAGAACGUUGGUGAGAGUGGAAAGCUCAUCAAGUGACGGUAACUACCCGGAAAGGGACGGCUAACUACGUG
rnacentral:rRNA from 1 species